rnacentral:rRNA from 1 species
CGGGUGAGUAAUGUAUGGGGAUCUGCCUGAUGGCGGGGGAUAACUACUGGAAACGGUAGCUAAUACCGCAUAACGUCGCAAGACCGAAGAGGGGGACCUUCGGGCCUCUUGCCAUCGGAUGUGCCCAGAUGGGAUUAGCUAGUAGGUGGGGUAACGGCUCACCUAGGCGACGAUCCCUAGCUGGUCUGAGAGGAUGAUCAGCCACACUGGGACUGAGACACGGCCCAG